rnacentral:rRNA from 1 species
UGGUUCGAUUCUGGCUCAGGAUGAACGCUGGCGGCAUGCCUAAUACAUGCAAGUCGAACGGAGUGAAGCCUUCGGGUUUCAUUCAGUGGCGAACGGGUGAGUAAUACGCAGGGAACCUGGCCAUGGCAGGGGGAUACACUCUGGAAACGGAGCAUAAGACCCCAUAGGCAGUAAGGCGGCAUCGCCUUACUGUUAAAGAAAGCUGAAAGGCUUUGGCGAUGGAUGGACCUGCGGUGCAUUAGCUUGUUGGUGAGGCAACGGCUUACCAAGGCGAUGAUGCAUAGCCGGCCUGAGAGGGCGGACGGCCACACUGGGACUGAGACACGGCCCAGACUCCUGCGGGAGGCAGCAGUAGGGAAUUUUCGUCAAUGGGCGCAAGCCUGAACGAGCAAUGCCGCGUGAGUGAGGAAGGUCUUCGGACUGUAAAGCUCUGUUGCCGGGGAAAAAGGGGAAAUGCAGGAAAUGGCAUUUCAUGGAUGGUACCCGGCCAGAAAGCCACGGCUAACUACGUGCCAGCAGCCGCGGUAAUACGUAGGUGGCGAGCGUUAUCCGGAAUGAUUGGGCGUAAAGGGUGCGCAGGCGGUCUGUUAAGUCUGAAGGCAAAGGGAUGAGCUCAACUCAUUUAUGAUUCAGAAACUGGCAGACUUGAGGACAGGAGAGGGCGGUGGAACUCCAUGUGUAGCGGUAAAAUGCGCAGAGAUAUGGAAGAACACCAGUGGCGAAGGCGGCCGCCUGGCCUGUGACUGACGCUGAGGCACGAAAGCGUGGGGAGCAAAUAGGAUUAGAUACCCUAGUAGUCCACGCCGUAAACGAUGAGGAGCAGGUGUUGGGAGUGAAAUCUCAGUGCCGAAGCCAACGCAGUGACUCCUCCGCCUGGGGAGUAUGCACGCAAGUGUGAAACUCAAAGGAAUUGACGGGGGCCCGCACAAGCGGUGGAGUAUGUGGUUUAAUUCGAAGCAACGCGAAGAACCUUACCAGGUUUUGACAUCGGAUGCGAAGGCGCAGAGAUGCGCUGGAGGCUAUCAUCCAGACAGGUGGUGCAUGGUUGUCGUCAGCUCGUGUCGUGAGAUGUUCAGUUAAGUCUGGCAACGAGCGCAACCCCCGUGGUAUGUUACUAACGCUUUAGGGCGAGGACUCAUAUCAGACUGCCGGUGACAAACCGGAGGAAGGCGGGGAUGACGUCAAAUCAUCAUGCCCCUUAUGACCUGGGCUACACACGUACUACAAUGGCGUCUACAGAGGGAAGCGACCCUGAGAAGGGAAGCGAAACCGGAAAAGGGCGUCCCAGUUCGGAUUGAAGUCUGCAACCCGACUUCAUGAAGAUGGAAUCGCUAGUAAUCGCGGAUCAGCAUGCCGCGGUGAAUACGUUCCCGGGCCUUGUACACACCGCCCGUCAAACCAUGGAAGCCGGCAACGCCCGAAGCCGGUGGCAUAACCUUUUAGGAGUGAGCCGUCGAAGGCGGGGCCGAUGACUGGGGUUAAGUCGUAACAAGGUGCCC